AGAAUAAAAGAACAUGACAACAUGAUAGCUGAAAUUUCAUUCAACUUUACAUUCAAAAAAAAUCUAUAUAUUUGGACCAAAGAUGAAUUACAGAUCUCUCAGAAAUUAUGCUAUAAGAAUACAGUUGGCCUUUUGUGUUUGUGGAUUCUCCGUGUGUGGAUUUAACCAACCACUAAUCAACACUGCAGACUCCAAAAAUCGGUGGAGAAGAAGAGGGACAAGGACUGAAAAACUGCCUGCUGGGAUCAAGAUCAGCUAUAUUAAAGAUUGAUGUAGUCUUUAUGAAAAUGUGCCUCAUUAGUUGGCUGCAAGAAAGUCAUCCAGCCUACAAAAGGAAAAAGAACUAUUUUAAUGGCAGAAUUCUCCACUUUCAUCUGUGACUUAAAGAAGAAAUAACUAGAGAACUCUUCAUAGACACUACUUUUCUUCACAACAACGCAUUUGUCAUUACAUAGUGCAAGGGGAUGUCAUCUGACACAUUCACAGAUAUUU